UAGGGAAUCUUCCGCAAUGGGCGAAAGCCUGACGGAGCAACGCCGCGUGAGUGAUGAAGGUACUCGGAUCGUAAAACUCUGUUAUUAGGGAAGAACAAAUGUGUAAGUAACUAUGCACGUCUUGACGGUACCUAAUCAGAAAGCCACGGCUAACUACGUGCCAGCAGCCGCGGUAAUACGUAGGUGGCAAGCGUUAUCCGGAAUUAUUGGGCGUAAAGCGCGCGUAGGCGGUUUUUUAAGUCUGAUGUGAAAGCCCACGGCUCAACCGUGGAGGGUCAUUGGAAACUGGAAAACUUGAGUGCAGAAGAGGAAAGUGGAAUUCCAUGUGUAGCGGUAAAAUGCGCAGAGAUAUGGAGGAACACCAGUGGCGAAGGCGACUUUCUGGUCUGUAACUGACGCUGAUGUGCGAAAGCGUGGGGAUCAAACAGG
rnacentral:rRNA from 1 species